UAUAAUAAAUAUUUUAUUAUAGUAAUAAAAUUUUAUUUUAAUUUUUUUUUACAUUUAAUAUUUUUAAAUUUAAAUAAAUUUUUAAAUAAAAAUAAAUUUAAUAAAAUUCUAAGUAAUUAAUAUUUUAAAUUAAUUAAUGUUUGAAUAAGAAAUAAUUUAAAGAAUUGAUAAAAUUUGUGCCAGCAAUCGCGGUUAUACAAAUAAUUCAAUUAAAAUUUAUUAAAAAAUAAGUUUUUAAAAAAAUUAUAAAAAUAAUUAGUUUUAAAAAAUUAAGUGAAAUUUUUUUUUUAAAAUUUAAAUUUUAUUUUAUUUUUAAUUUUUAGUUAAAUUUAGUAUAAAAACUAGGAUUAGAUACCCUAUUAUUUAAUAUUUAUUAAUAAAAAUUUUUAGGUAGUAAAAGAAAUUUUUAUAUUCUUAAAACUUAAAUAAUUUGGCGGUAUUUUAGACUAUUUAAAGGAAUUUGUUAGUUAAUUGAUAAUCCACAAUUUACCUUACUUAAUUUAUUAAUUUGUAUAUCGUUGUCAUCAGAAUAUUUUAAAAGAAUUAAAUAAUUUUCGAAAUUUAAAAUAUUUUAAUAUGUCAAAUCAAGGUGCAGUUUAUAAUUAAGUCUAUAAAAUGAAUUACAAUAAUUUUUAUUUUUGGAUUAUUAGUUUAAUAAUUUAAUAUGAAAUUGGAUUUAAAAGUAAAUUUAUAAAAUAAAAAUAAUUUGAUUUUAGCUCUAAAAUAUGCACAUAUCGCCCGUCGCUCUCGUUAUAUUUUUAUAAAAUGAGAUAAGUCGUAACAUAGUAGAUAUAUUGGAAAAUGUAUCUAGAAAGA
rnacentral:ncRNA from 1 species